UCGGGCUGAAGACUCUACUUGACUAGCUGAGAGGAGGUGCAUGGCCGUCGUCAGUUCGUACUGUGAAGCAUCCUGUUAAGUCAGGCAACGAGCGAGACCCACGCCAACAGUUGCCAGCUCGUCCUCCGGGAUGGUGGGGACACUGUUGGGACCGCCUCUGCUAAAGAGGAGGAAGGAAUGGGCAACGGUAGGUCAGCAUGCCCCGAAUUAUCUGGGCUACACGCGGGCUACAAUGGGUGGGACAAUGGGUAUCGACACCGAAAGGUGAAGGCAAUCUCCUAAACCCAUCCGUAGUUCGGAUUGUGGGCUGCAACUCGCCCACAUGAAGCUGGAAUCUGUAGUAAUCGUGUCUCAAAAUGGCACGGUGAAUAUGUCCCUGCUCCUU
rnacentral:rRNA from 1 species